UCGGUUGGGGAAGACACUAUCUUC
rnacentral:siRNA from 1 species